AGAGGCAAGUUGCCACACAGAGAGAAGCAUGCCCAUCUCGUAUACUUCAAGUACAUUGCUGCCAUUGCUGUCUCUGGGAGAACAUAUGGACGUGGCACCACGUUCACCUUUUUCAUCUCUCAGCAAUUAGAAUUAAAAUGCUGUGUCCAAAGAAGAAGCAAAAAUACUUCAUCUCACUGCAAUACAAUCCCUGAAGAACCACACCAGGACUGCAACAUACUAAACAUUGAAGAUUAUGAAGGACCAUAUGGAACUUACUGCAUCUGAGGAACAUUAACUCUGGAUCAUGUGGAAAAGUCUAAAAUAAGGACAUGACUAAGCUGGCCUCUUUAAUGACUAGAAAAAGAAACAAAAUGGAAAACAUCCACCUUCUAGGCUUCACCCUGUGCAGUGACCUGGAAAAGAAAACCUAUUGGCACCAGCAAUCAAGCUUUCCUGUAUUAUCUUCCCAGGAGGUUGAUUGCACUGUCCUAAAUGUGGGUGACUGCUUGAGGUCCAAAAUUCUUUACACUGGUGCUAUUUCUCUGAAAUCCAAACAUAAUUAGAAAAGCAGAAAUAUACAGUGGUAGCCAGUAUACAGUAUAGCAUACCAUAACAACAGUAAAGAAUUUCCAAUCAAGCUGGGUAAGAAACAAAGCUACCAGCCUGCCAGCUGUGAAUUUCAUGAUUUUCAAGGUACCUUUUACAAAAAAAAAAAAAAAAAAAGUAGCAAAAUGUUUCAGAAAUCAGAAAAUCACUGCAGUAUUACCUUUGUUUCUCCCAAAUGGGCAAUCUUUGCAGUUAUUUCGAAUGCAAAAACCACACAUAUUCUUGAAGUACCACUCACCAGAACUCAUUCUUUUCUGUUCUAUUUUUAAGAAGUUCUGGUUUUGUCUUGCAUGUAUGACUUGAUCAAAGGAUGCUUUAAAAUUAAACUUCUGAAACCAACAACAGCCUUUAUGCAUUCUAAAUAGUUAGGUGAUGUGUUUGUUUCAUUCAUAUUUCUAACUUACUUCACUCUAAAAUUAACAAAGAACAGCAAAUGUUCUUCCAAUAUUAGAAUAUCACACUGACAGAGAGUUUCUCAAUGUUCCCCUCAGAUUUUUAUUCACAUUAGGAUCAAACCAUAAUGUACUGGCUAGUACGGGCAGCGUAUUAUACUAGGCACUGUAUGCACCUGCUUGAAACAGCUCUGGUCCAAAGACUUCACAAUCUGAACAGAGAGGAUAGAGAUGAAUGAGCAACUGUAGGAACAAGAGUGAUUGCUUUCCCUGUACAGGGAAAGAAAAAUAGAGGCAAAUUGGUCUCAAAGUGGGAGAUCAACUCCACAUCUCCACUUUUACUGUUCUGUCUCUUUCACCACAGGACUUUGCAGUACACAUAUGGGGUUUUGUUUAUUUGCUUGCUUGAUGCUUGUUUGUUGUUUCUUUUUUUCUUUCUUUUCUUUUUUUUUUCCCCUCUUCCUUUGUUAUGAUGAAUACAGAAAGAGAUGUAGGGAUUUAAUAAGGUUUGCUCUCAAUGGCAGAUUCCAGCAGGAGAUUAUAGGGAAUAUUUUCUGGGGAAUACAAAUCCAAAGUCUCUGGCCAAAUUUGUGCCUGUCAGCUAACCAGCAAUAUUAUUGUGGUGUUAGCUACCUCACUUGCAGUAUUCACACUGGAAGCAGAGAUCAAACUGUAUGGACAUUUUUCCUUUCAACCUCAAUAAACAAGCAUUCCUGCUGCUUGCACUCCUGUGGGGAAUUCACAUUCAGCAUUAUCAUUUCCAGUUCCUCAGACUACCAAGUAUUGUUGAUGUCCUCUCUAUUUCAUACCAGACAGCAGAGCAGAAGUUGAUUUAUUUAUUUAUUUAUUUUAUCUACAAGCUUGUAAAUCCCCCUGGAGGCCUUAAGGAGGAAACCAUAUCAAGUUAUGUAAGAAAAGAACAGUAAAAUUGACAUGAAAUUUGCGUAUAUCCAUAGUCUUAUAACUGCAGUGAAGGUCAGCUAGUAAUAAAGAUGACAUGUACUUGUCCAUAUUUCACUUUAUAUGCUAAUUCAACACAGCUUUUUUAUUAUAAGGUUUGGAAAAAAUACUUUUCUGUAAUUAUAUGUUGAUCCUUCAUCUUAAUCACAUAAUUUUACAUGGAAACCUUUCUCAAGAAAGAUUGGUUAAUAUUUAUAAAGUGCAUUAAAGAUAAAAGAACUCUA